rnacentral:rRNA from 1 species
AGUGAACGCUGGCGGUAGACCUAACACAUGCAAGUCGAACGGCAGCACAGUAAGAGCUUGCUCUUACGGGUGGCGAGUGGCGGACGGGUGAGGAAUACAUCGGAAUCUACUUUUUCGUGGGGGAUAACGUAGGGAAACUUACGCUAAUACCGCAUACGACCUACGGGUGAAAGCAGGGGAUCUUCGGACCUUGCGCGAUUGAAUUAGCCGAUGUCGGAUUAGCUAGUUGGCGGGGUAAAGGCCCACCAAGGCGACGAUCCGUAGCUGGUCUGAGAGGAUGAUCAGCCACACUGGAACUGAGACACGGUCCAGACUCCUACGGGAGGCAGCAGUGGGGAAUAUUGGACAAUGGGCGCAAGCCUGAUCCAGCCAUACCGCGUGGGUGAAGAAGGCCUUCGGGUUGUAAAGCCCUUUUGUUGGGAAAGAAAAGCAGCAGGUUAAUACCCAGCUGUUCUGACGGUACCCAAAGAAUAAGCACCGGCUAACUUCGUG